CAGAUGACAUGGACAGCAAAUUUAAACGUAAGAUUUUCCUAAAAAUGUAUUCUAUUGUGCACGUGCACAUGAUUUGAAAGCCAAAAAAAGUUUUGGAGGUUUUAAUUUUCUGCAUUUUUCUCGUAGAAGAGUCUGACGUUGUAGCUAAGCUGACGAGUGUCACCUUGGGUGUUCUGUCUGUUUUCCUCCUAAUGUUCAUCAUUGGGCUGGUUGUUCAAAACAGGAAACUUCAGCAAGCUUUUAAAGAACAACAAAAUCUGGACCAAAGUGAGAGUCGAGACAAUGAUGACUUGAACUAUGCUACAGUAACGUUUCAGCCGAAAGCAAAAAGAAUCCAAAUGGGGUCAAAUGUGAUCUAUGCUGCUACCAGAUAGUCUCAAGUUUUUCUGCUUUUAUAGUUGCACUGGGGCAUGGUUUAAACACAACUGUGAUGAAAAUCCUGACACCUGUUAAGUUGCAUCUUUCUUGUUACAGAAUCUGUAAUGAAACAGUAUUAAUUGGUACCAUAUGGUAAAAGUAAAUAUGGUACCAAUUAAUACAAACACAUGUGAACCGAUGAGGUAACACACAGCACUGUGUUUGAGUUAGAUAUAUAUCUGUGUUCAUGACUGGAAAGAUUUAAUGCUGUCUUAUAUAGUUUGACUCAUACACUUAGUUUGUUUAUA